CCAGAGUCCAAGCCUCUUUGGACUCUUUGAUAUGGGCAUGGAUAAGGCUUGGGGAUGCCCAAACUUGUACCCCCUUUAGGCUCGAUCCAAUCAGGGUUCUAGAUAAAUAGGUAAGCCCAAUUAAAUAAGAUUUAUGUUGGGUUUCGGAGAGUGCAACAGAAGAUGAAUUUCAAAAAUUUUUCUUGAAACUCAAGUCUCCCAAAAAUCCAAAACCUAGGACCCUCUUAACCAUAUGGUAAAUAAUAAAUAAUAGGUAUAAACUCAUGCCUAUUAAGCCGGUGA
rnacentral:lncRNA from 1 species